AGGACAAACGCUGGCGGCGUGUAUUAGGCAUGCAAGUCGCACGGCACCUUCGGGUGCAGUGGCGGACGGGUGAGUAACACGUGGGUAACCUGCCUCGUAGUGGGGAAUAACUCGCCGAAAGGCGAGCUAAUACCGCAUAUUACUCUCGGUGAGAAUCCGAGAAGUAAAAGUCGUAAGGCGCUACGAGAGGGGCCCGCGGCCGAUUAGCUUGUUGGUGGGGUAACGCCUACCAAGGCGACGAUCGGUAGCUGGUCUGAGAGGAUGGUCAGCCACGACGGGGACUGAGAUACCGGGCCCCACUCCGUACGGGAGGCAGCAGCUAAGAAUCGUUGCGACAAGUGGGACGAAAGCCUGACGCAGCAACGCCGCGG
rnacentral:rRNA from 1 species